AGCCACCGCCGCCGCUAACCAGAGAGACGCGUGAACCCGCGCGGGCCCUGGGCGCUGGCCGAGGCCUCAAAGGCGGCACGGCUCGAAGUGUCCAUCUCUCGCGACUGCUCGCUCGCAUGUGCGCUGCGGACCGCGCCCCGCGGGCGGUUUUUAUAAACAAGGCCGGAACUCGCGGGCGGCGAGAACCCUGCAGCGGAGCGGCGUGUAACAAUUACGCAGCAUAACCGGAGCUGCGCCGGAAGGGGCGGCGGCGGCGGCGGCGUCGUUACGCACAUGCAGACGGCGCGCUACCGGCCACAGCAUCGCAUUACCGAUGGGAACGAGGCCAAAAGAGACACUCGGCGAGAUCUCUCCGGGCGGGGAGUGGACGCCGGCAAAUGCAUCCGCUGGUUGAGCGCGAGAUGGGAUUGAAUUCCCCAGGGUGCGCGGGAUGCAAACGGACCAAAACACGAAGUCCGGGAAUUACCUCCGCUUGCAACGUGGCCGCCUCGUGCUUCCCAACGGAGCGGCCGCCUCGCCUCGUUUUGUUCGUAUGUAUUUUUUGUAAGUGAUUUGUUUACCUUUCCUAUCGGGUUUUUAUAUUGUUUGCUGUUGUUGUUGUAAGAUUUAGGACCCCCGUUUCCCGACUGAAUAUCUGUGAAAAAAACAGCUUGAAAGCUCAUCGGAUUCUUCCAGCAUAAAUAAAUAUUCUGAUUCUGCUUCAAUCGCAGUCAACCUGAGAUAGCGCAAUUCACUCUUGCGAGCGAUGAGCGUGAUCCGCCAACCCUUUCGCAUGAAGCGUUAAAUCAGAGGCGUGCACUGCCACCGACCGGCUAUUUGGAUGGCAAUUUAUUCACUCACUCAGAAAAGCCCUCAAGAUACAUUUUCAAGAGGAAUUUUCACUUGUGCCGUUUGGCGACCGCAUUUUUGUCUGAGUUUGCAUGUCGGAGAGAAGUACAGUACCUGGGGAAACCCCACACGUACUAAGGGGAUAUCGUUCCAAACAUAAUCUGGCCGGAUAGGUCGGCCACCUACUUGCUGUACUGCCAUCAGAUUGGGAGUGUCACACUAUGCUGGCUCAUCGGCAUGACGUCACAUCACGUCGUCACAUUGUAACAUAUGUGCAUGUAACCACCGACCCCAUACCUUCUUAUCUCCAGGUCUCUCUCUUAUCUCAGCGCGGUACAGCUUGCCUCUUGUCUACAGCUCUCCUGUAUUUAUCUCCUGUUUAUUUGCUUUCAUCUGGAUAAUCCGUAUCUCUCUUCUCUGCAAACAUCUUAUCUCGAAUUCUUUUUGAGCUGUAUCUCUCGGCAGGUCAAGGUUUUAGCAGACCACUCCUCCGAGGGCCCCCCGUGGGCCAGGCGUGGCCCACCGGCCCGCCAGUUGAAGAAACCCUCACGUUCCCCACCGAUUGGCUGCCGGUGCGCGCCAGGUUGGAAGGGCCCGACGCCGCAGCCGCGGCGGCGCCGGCGGCGGCGGUGGCGGCGGCGGCUGCGGCGACGUUGGAGGAGGAGGAGAGGAGCCCGGCGUCGCGCGAGGAGAGGGCGGAGCAGGAGGAACGCGGCGUGAGCUCACCUCCGCCCACCGACGCCUGUCCGUGCAGCGGGGGCGUCGCUGCGGGAGACGCGCAGCGCCCGUCGACCGCCGACCCCGGCGCCAGCGGGCGGCGCGACAGCUUGGAGGGCCGCGUGAAGAUGCCGCGCCCGGCCUC